rnacentral:rRNA from 1 species
UGGGGAAUUUUGGACAAUGGGCGAAAGCCUGAUCCAGCCAUGCCGCGUGCAGGAUGAAGGCCUUCGGGUUGUAAACUGCUUUUGUACGGAACGAAAAGACUCUGGUUAAUACCUGGGGUCCAUGACGGUACCGUAAGAAUAAGCACCGGCUAACUACGUGCCAGCAGCCGCGGUAAUACGUAGGGUGCAAGCGUUAAUCGGAAUUACUGGGCGUAAAGCGUGCGCAGGCGGUUAUAUAAGACAGAUGUGAAAUCCCCGGGCUCAACCUGGGAACUGCAUUUGUGACUGUAUAGCUAGAGUACGGCAGAGGGGGAUGGAAUUCCGCGUGUAGCAGUGAAAUGCGUAGAUAUGCGGAGGAACACCGAUGGCGAAGGCAAUCCCCUGGGCCUGUACUGACGCUCAUGCACGAAAGCGUGGGGGAGCAAACAGGAUUAGAUACCCUGGUAGUCCACGCCCUAAACGAUGUCAACUGGGUUGUUGGGUCUUUCACUGACUCAGUAACGAAGCU